GACGAACGCUGGCGGCGUGCUUAACACAUGCAAGUCGAACGGAAAGGCCUUUUCGGAGGUACUCGAGUGGCGAACGGGUGAGUAACACGUGGGUGAUCUGCCCUGCACUCUGGGAUAAGCCUGGGAAACUGGGUCUAAUACCGGAUAGGACCGCACUUUAGUGUGUGUGGUGGAAAGUUUUUUCGGUGUAGGAUGAGCCCGCGGCCUAUCAGCUUGUUGGUGGGGUAAUGGCCUACCAAGGCGGCGACGGGUAGCCGGACUGAGAGGUUGGUCGGCCACAUUGGGAGUGAGAUACGGGCCAGACGCCUGCGGUGGGCCGCCGUGGGGGGUGGUGUGCAGUGGGCGCGAGUCUGAUUCCUCGACGCCGCGUGGGGGGUGACGGCCGUCGAGAAGUAAACUCCGUUCGCCAGAGACGAAGCGGUGAGUACCGGUAAUAUAAGAAGAAACACGCACAAACUACGUG
rnacentral:rRNA from 1 species